UGGGGAAUAUUGGACAAUGGGCGCAAGCCUGAUGACGCAACGCCGCGUGGAGGAUGAAGGUCUUCGGAUUGUAAACCCCUUUCGGCAGGGAAGAUGGAACGGGUAACCGUUCGGACGGUACCUGCAGAAGCAGCCACGGCUAACUUCGUGCCAGCAGCCGCGGUAAUACGAAGGUGGCAAGCGUUGUUCGGAUUUACUGGGCGUACAGGGAGCGUAGGCGGUUGGGUAAGCCCUCCGUGAAAUCUCCGGGCCUAACCCGGAAAGUGCGGAGGGGACUGCUCGGCUAGAGGAUGGGAGAGGAGCGCGGAAUUCCCGGUGUAGCGGUGAAAUGCGUAGAGAUCGGGAGGAAGGCCGGUGGCGAAGGCGGCGCUCUGGAACAUUUCUGACGCUGAGGCUCGAAAGCGUGGGGAGCAAACAGGAUUAGAUACCCAAGUAGUCCCUGAGCGGGCUGGCAAGGCGCAU
rnacentral:rRNA from 1 species